UUAGGGGUAGAGAAACACGGAUCUCUCUCCAAGAAAGUAAUUUUUUUUCUCGUUGUUCGUCUCGCAGCUCGAGGGCUGCGAAUACUAACGAUGGCAUCUUCUUCAGAUUUCUCCGCCGCCGAGAGGGAAGCAGCGCUGAGGAGGCAGCAGCAGAGGAAAGGAGCCCCAGUCAAAUUCCUAAUUCCUCUAAUUUACGCUCCGGCUCUUCCCUUGAUUCGAAUUGUUCUGAGGCGUAACCCGGUGGUUAGGGAUCGGUUAUUCUAUGGAGUUUUAGCUGGUGCUUUUGCUCAUGGCGCCUACUUGAUCUAAAACCAUGAUGCCACACACAGAGGUUUGGAGCAGAUAUAGAAGAUUAGAAAGCAUUGUACGAGUGAAUGUACAGAAGACGCAAAUCUACUAAGCGAUCAGUAUGAUGUUGAGAGCAAGUAAACUGCAGGAACCGGUGAACAUGAGCUCUGGCAUCAUUGCGCCCUAAUUGCUUGAGUUUUCAAGAAUGUUUCAAUUUUUAUUAUCAGAAAAGUAAAUGGGUACUCUCGUGAAAUUUACCCAAUAACAAAUGGCUAUACGUUUGCUAGGCUACUGAAUUGCUGUUAUUCUAACUUCGGACUUGGUGCACUUCGUGCUCUUUGAAGUGACAGUUUCAGUUGUUAUUAUUUUACUUCUGGUUAUGCAUUCUUCAUUUUUUUUUCUUGAUUGAAAAAUUCUUUGAGAGAGAGAGAAAAAAAAAAUCACAAUGAGUUGCUAUUUGUAUUUUUUUCGCCUUAGUUAUUGGGCUUUAUUUCCUCUGGCACCUAAAUUAUGGGAUAUAAAUAUAUGUUUUUCUUGGCUUC